UCGAACGCGAAAGGGGCUUCGGCCCUGAGUAGAGUGGCGAACGGGUGAGUAACACGUGGGUGAUCUACCUCUGAGUGGGGGAUAACGUUCCGAAAGGAGCGCUAAUACCGCAUGACGUUCCGGGUUUGAAGACCGGGAAACCAAAGUCGGGGACCGCAAGGCCUGAUGCUUGGAGAGGAGCCCGCGCCUGAUUAGCUAGUUGGUGGGGUAACGGCCCACCAAGGCGACGAUCAGUAGCCGGCCUGAGAGGGCGGACGGCCACACUGGGACUGAGACACGGCCCAGACUCCUACGGGAGGCAGCAGUGGGGAAUUGUUCACAAUGGGCGCAAGCCUGACGACGCAACGCCGCGUGGAGGAUGAAGGUCUUCGGAUUGUAAACUCCUGUUGACCGGGACGAAUGGGCCUCGACCUAACACGUCGGGGCAAUGACGGUACCGGUUGAGGAAGCCACGGCUAACUCUGUGCCAGCAGCCGCGGUAAUACAGAGGUGGCAAGCGUUG
rnacentral:rRNA from 1 species